UGAAUGACAUUUGUUGAGGAAUUAAUCAGAUUGGAUAAAAUAACAUGGAUCCAAUUCUGAUUCGCCAGGGAUGCAGCGCGUCGGGAGGAGAAUCUUUAAGAAACCAAUUAGAGACCAGCUUCAGAUCACAUGCUUGUCGAAAGUUUAAGGGCUCAGAUGGACAUCCAUUUUUCCGGCAUUCAUGCCCAUGAAACCGCAUGAAACAUAUUUAAACAUAGAAUAUAGUUAAUUGACUAAAGCCAGUUUUUUAUUAAAUGCUGAGGCUCUUACUACCAGAAGGGUAAUUGUAUGAGUAAACUAUUUCAUUUUAUUUUUCAUUUUUAUUUUCAUUUUUGUUUACAUUUAUGUUUCUGGAAUUUGAUGGGGGCGGUGCCCUAGCGUCCUCUGAAACACAAGCCG